rnacentral:rRNA from 1 species
AAAAGCGGAGGAAAAGAAACCAACAGGGAUUGCCUUAGUAGCGGCGAGUGAAGCGGCAAAAGCUCAAAUUUGAAAUCUGGCGCCUUCGGUGUCCGAGUUGUAAUUUGAAGAUUGUAACCUUGGGGUUGGCUCUUGUCUAUGUUUCUUGGAACAGGACGUCACAGAGGGUGAGAAUCCCGUGCGAUGAGAUGCCCAAUUCUAUGUAAGGUGCUUUCGAAGAGUCGAGUUGUUUGGGAAUGCAGCUCUAAGUGGGUGGUAAAUUCCAUCUAAAGCUAAAUAUUGGCGAGAGACCGAUAGCGAACAAGUACAGUGAUGGAAAGAUGAAAAGAACUUUGAAAAGAGAGUGAAAAAGUACGUGAAAUUGUUGAAAGGGAAGGGUUUGAGAUCAGACUCGAUAUUUUGUGAGCCUUGCCUUCGUGGCGGGGUGACCCGCAGCUUAUCGGGCCAGCAUCGGUUUGGGCGGUAGGAUAAUGGCGUAGGAAUGUGACUUUACUUCGGUGAAGUGUUAUAGCCUGCGUUGAUGCUGCCUGCCUAGACCGAGGACUGCGAUUUUAUCAAGGAUGCUGGCAUAAUGAUCCCAAACCGCCCGUCUUGA